GCCAAGUUUGACAAAGAUAUUAUUUUACAAACGCUGGAAUGAGCUCUUGCAGCUUCGACGGUACCAAGAAAAGGUGUUGAUUCCCUUGAUCAGAGCAAGAAAGAACGCCAAGAUUGAAAAUUUAAGCAAAGAUAAAGAAGAUAAAGUGGAAAAGGAAGAUUUUAUACUAUCAUAUGUUGAUACUCUGAUAGAUUUGCACCUCCCACAUGAGAACAGAAAGCUUGAAGAAGGGGAAAUUGUUAGUUUAUGCUCUGAAUUUCUUGAUGGAGGUACGGAUACUACAUCCACAGCCCUGCAAUGGAUCAUUGCAAAUUUAGUCAAGUACCCACACAUUCAAGAGAAGCUUUUCAUGGAAAUUAAGGAUGUUGUUGGGGUUGAAGAGACAGAAGUUAAAGAAGAAUAUUUGCAGAUGAUGCCAUAUCUGAAAGCAGUGAUUUUGGAAGGAUUAAGGCGACACCCACCAGGGCACUUUGUGUUGCCACAUGCUGUGAGAGAAGAUGCUGUUCUUGAUGGAUUUCUGGUUCCAAAACAUGGAACUAUAAAUUUCAUGGUUGCAGAGAUGGG
rnacentral:lncRNA from 1 species